rnacentral:rRNA from 1 species
GAAUCUUGCGCAAUGGACGAAAGUCUGACGCAGCGACGCCGCGUGGGUGAUGAAGGCCUUCGGGUUGUAAAGCCCUGUGGGGAGGGACGAAUAAGUUGCGGCUAAUACCCGCAGCGAUGACGGUACCUCCUUAGCAAGCACCGGCUAACUCUGUGCCAGCAGCCGCGGUGAUACAGAGGGUGCAAGCGUUGUCCGGAAUCACUGGGCGUAAAGGGCGCGUAGGCGGCCUGAUAAGCAGGGGGUGAAAUCCUGUGGCUCAACCACAGGGCUGCCUUCUGAACUGUCAGGCUGGAGCACGGUAGAGGCAGAUGGAAUUCCCGGUGUAGCGGUGGAAUGCGUAGAGAUCGGGAAGAACACCAGUGGCGAAGGCGGUCUGCUGGGCCGUUGCUGACGCUGAGGCGCGACAGCGUGGGGAGCAAAC